AUCUAGGGUUAGGGUUUAGGAUAGGGUUAGGGAAAGGGUGAGGAUAUGUGCCUUAUAUCCUGUAGUUCAGAGACCUCUCCAGAGAAUGAAACCCUAGACUUCUGCUUGGGCGUGAUUAGACACGGCAUACAUACACCAACAAUAGCCAAAUUAUGGAAAGAGCCCAAAUGUCCAUUGACUAAUGAAUGGAUGAAGAUGAUGUGGUAGAUAUAUAUUAAUGGAAUAUUACUCAGCCAUAAAAAAGAAUGGGAUGUUGCCAUUUGCAGCGACUUGGAUGGAGCUGGAAAGUAUUAUGCUAAGCAAAGUAAGUCAGUCAGAGAAAGACAAAUACACACAUGAUUUCACUCAUGUGAAAUUUAAGAAAUUAAACAGAUGAACCAGGGGAAGAAAGACAGGCAAACCAGAAAACAGACUCUUAACUAUAGACAACAAACUGAGAGGGGAGGGUGGUGGGGAGGGAUAGGGAAUUAGCUGAAUGGAUGAUAGGUAUUAAGGCAGGUACUUGUGAUGAGCACUGGGUGUUAUAUGUAAGUGAUGAAUCACUAAAUUCUACACCUGAAACUAAUAUAAUGGUGUAUUUUAACUAACUGGAAUUUAAGUAAAAACUUGAAAAAAAGUACAUAUUCUUGUUCUUAACUUUUAUAGUAUAAGGUUUGUUUAAAUAAAUAAAACUAUGAAAAUGAGAGUUGGCAUAAAUUCCAGUACAGUUUAUUAGGGUGCUCAAUGGAUCAGACUCAUGCUAUUAAGUGGACUCAAAUCACUUUGAAGUUGUGACUAAUAAUUUAUUAGUUUUUAUAAUAAAGAUUGAUUUCUGAGUCUAAUAGCUAAUAUAAGUUUAUUGUUUAAAUUAUUAUUUUUUGGAAGUAAUAACUGAAAAAAUUGAUUAAGUAGUUAUUAAGAUUCUUUUGUAUUGUAUCUGUUGGCCUAGAACUCAAGAAUAUUAUAGGAAAUAUUUGAGCAGCUUUUCCCUAUAUUAUUAAAUUGUAUGAUUAAUUUUUAGUAUUAAGAGUAGUUCACAAGAAUGCACUGUAGGUAAUGUUAUGGAGAAAUUGCAAUGGAAAAUUUUAUAAAUUAAAAAAUAUAGAUGGUGUUAUUUAGGUGAAACGUAUUUUAGAUAAAAUAUAUUUUGUUUUUAGGCUAUUUUGUCUUUCAUCUUUACUUUCUGUUAUUUAUAUUUUGCCUCAUUUACCUUCAAAAUUGCUAUUGACAUUUUUGGAUAGUUUGUGUAUUCUGGAAUUAAUCUUUAGAGUAACAGACAAAAGGUAUAAUUUUACUCCCAUAGCACAAUUUAAAAAUUAAUUUGAUCUGAAAGGAACUAAAAUUUGGGAAUCUAUACAGAAUAUGACUGAAACAGGAUAAGACAAUUUGAUUAAAAUUUCUGGUAAAUAGACCUAUGUAGUUCUAACUUGUUUUUUUUUUUCUUUGUCUUGUUAUCUUUCCAAAACUUAAAUUAUGUAUGUUUAAAGUGACAUUCCUAAUUUUAGCAAAUAAAUUUUCUGAUUUCUUUGGGAAUUUAGCAGCUAAUCUAAAUUAAUAGUAUCUCAUGACCAGGUAAGGCUUAUUCUAGAAAUGCAAGAAUAUUUUACAAUUAAGAAAUUUUACCAUCAAGAAAUUUUUAAGAUAAUUCGUUAACAAAUGAAAAAUUACAAAUCACAUGAUAUUAUUAUAUGAUAACAUUGACAUUUGAUAAAAUUUAGUCGUCUUUCCCAGUAUAAGUUCUUUAAAAAAAAUUUUUUUUUUAAUGUUUAUUUUUGAGAGAAAGAGAAUGUGAGCGGGGGAGGGACAGAGAGAGAGGGAGACACAGAAUCCAAAGCAGACUCCAGACCCUGAGCUGUCAGCACAGAGCCCGACGUAGGGCUCAAACCCACAAACUGUGAGAUUAUGACCUGAGCCGAAGUCAGACACAUAAUGGAUUGAGCCACCCAGAUGCCCCCCCCCCCCCAGUAAAAGUUCUAAGUAAAAUAGGAAUAGGAAGAAAUUAAUAAAACUCUUACAAAAAUUAUUUACCAAAAUUUAAAGUAAAUAUUGUAUUAUAUAUUUAAGUACUGAAGCUAUUUGUAUUUAAUAAGAAGACAAGGAUGCCCACAACUAUAUAGAGGCUUUAUGCAGUAUAGAUUUUUUUUAAUUUUAUUUUUUAAAAUUUAUAUCCAAAUUAGCAUAUAGUGCAACAAUGAUUUCAGGAGUAGAUUCCUUAAUGCCCCUUACCCAUUUAGCUCAUCAUCCCUCCCACACCACCUCUAGUAACCCUCUGUUUGUUCUCCAUAUUUAAGAGUCUCUUAUGCUUUGUCCUUCUCCCUGUUUUUAUAUUAUUUUUGUUUCCCUUCCCUUCUGUUCAUCUGUUUUGUCUCUUAAAGUCCUCAUAUGAGUGAAGUCAUAUGAUAUUUGUCUUUCUCUGAUUAAUUUCACUUAGCAUAUAGUACCUUCCAGUUCCAUCCACGUAGUUGCAAAUGGCAAGAUUUCAUUCUUUUUGAUUGCCGAGCAAUACCCCACUGUAUAUAUACCACAUCUUCUUUAUCCAUUUAUCCACUGAUGGACAUUUGGGCUCUUUCCAUACUUUGGCUAUUGUUGAUAGUGCUGCUAUAAACAUUGGGGUGCAUGUGUCCCUUUGAAACAGCACACCUGUAUCCCUUGGAUAAAUGCCUCGUAGUGCAAUUGCUGGGUCAUAGGAUAGUUCUAUUUUUAGUUUUUUGAGGAACCUCCAUACUGUUUUCCAGAGUGGCUGCACCAGCUUUAUGCAGUAUAGAUUUAAAGACUUUAUAUAGUGUAGUAAUAUAAGGAAAUAAAUACAUUAAUAUAUGAGUCAGAAGAAAACAUUCUAUUAAAGCACAGAGGGGGGCGCCUGGGUGGCUCAGUCAGUUAAGCGGCCGACUUCGGCUCAGGUCAUGAUCUUGCAGUCUGUGAGUUCGAGCGCCGCGUCGGGCUCUGUGCUAACCGCUCAGAGCCUGGAGCCUGUUUCCGAUUCUGUGUCUCCCUCUCUCUCUGACCCUCCCCCGUUCAUGCUCUGUCUCUCUCUGUCUCAAAAAUAAAUAAAUGCUAAAAAAAAAAAAUUAAAAAGCACAGAGGAACCAGGUAAUUUUGGUUAAAAGCUUCAAUGAAUAAAGCAAUUGGAAAAAAAACUUGUUCUCUAAACUAGUAAGGAUCAGACUAAAUGGUCGGCUCUCAUAGUUGGCUAACACAGUAACUUUAUGAACUCUGCAGAAGCUUUUCCCAAAUUGAUUUCCAAGAUAUGUAAAUUAGUAGUUUAAAGAAAGGCAUUCCAUGGUCAAAUAAGUUUGAGAAACUUUGAACAUUAUAUUUCCAGGCCAGCGAUCUACAAUAAACAUUUAAAUACUUUUGUAUAGGGGUACCUGGGUGGCUUAGUCGGUUAAGCAUCCAACUCUUGAUUUUGGCUCAGGUCAUGAUCUCAUGGUUCAUGAGAUGGAACCCCAUGUCAGGUUCUGUGCAGGCACACAAGUGCUCUCUCUCUCUCAAAAUAGAUAAACUUAGAAAAAGAUAAAUAGUUUUAUAUAGAAUUUAUAGAAACCCAUUUAACUUUGUUAAUGCUCUAAACAAUGGUUUGGAUAAAGUUCUAAGUCAUGACACUUUAUUGGGCAUAAAAUGUAGUUUUUACCAUUCCUUGCAAGAGCAAUUCUUUAAUUCCCUGCUCAAACCACCGACAUACUAGUAUAUUGUACCUUUGAAAAUAUGCUCCAGUUUCUUUUUACACUGUACAGAUGAGCUUUUUUUGUCCAUACUUUUGUAUGAAGAUCAGUUGGCUUUAACCAUAGACCCCAAUUAUACAUAUUCUUUACCACCUUAAAAAAAAAAAAUCUACCACUAAUAAAUUCAGAUGGUUUGCAGCUUGACUUUUUCUUGACCUUUGACUUUGAGGGUAGUAAUUAGUAAUAGGCUAUGCUGUGAGAGAUCAGCCCAGAUGCCUAGUUAAAUCAGCAAAUACAGUGUGCUCACUAUGUGGCAGGUACUCCUGUGUGUGAUAUAAGUCUCUGCCUUCAUGAUGCUUACAUUUAAGUAGAGGUGAGUGCUUGGAGACAGACAAGGUACAGAUACAGUAGUAAAUUAAUAUAGUUUUUUGUAGUAAUAAGUAUUGAGAAUAAAAUAAAGUAAAGCAGAAGGGUAGAAAGUAGAAGUGUCUUCUGUAUGUAGAGUAGGCAGAGAAAGCCUCAGAGGAGGUCACCUUUUAAUGUUUAUUUGUUCUUGAGAGAGAGAGAGAGACAGAGAGUGAACAGGGGAGAGACAGAGAGAGAGAGGGAGACACAGAAUCCAAAGCAGGCUUCAGGCUCUGAGUUGUCUGCACAGAGCCUGUUGUGGGGCUCGAACCCAGGAACUGCAAGGUCAUGACCUGAGCUGAAGUCGGCUGCUUAACCCACUGAGCCACCCAGGCACCCUGAGGAGGUGACCUUUUAGUUGAGACUUAUACCAUGCACAGGAGGUAGCUCUAGCAGAGAGAACCUUCCAGGCCAAAGUGGCAGCAUAAUUCAAGACCUUAAGAAGGGAAUGUAUUAAGACAUAUUGGAAGGGCGGAAAAUCUGGUUUUGUUGAUAGGAAAGGUAGGAAUGACAGGAAGUGAAUUUGGAGAAGAAAGCAGGGACUAGAUCAUAUAAGGUAUUGUAGUCUAAGGUAUAAAGGGUUAGGAUUUUAAUGUAAUUAUAAGGCCAGCCAAUAAAGAGUCCUAUGAUUUUGAUUUUCAUAGGAAUGUUCACUCUACAGGGUGUUAAAAUUUUCCAGUGAUCUCAACUAUAAUAAAGGCCAUGAAUGGAAAACCCACAGUGAAUAUCCUACUCAAUAGGGAAAAACAGAGCUUUCCCUGUAAGGUCAGGAACAAGACAAGGAUGUCUACUUUCACCACUUUUAUUCAUCAUAGUACUGAAAGUCCUAGCCACAGCAAUCAAACAAACAGAGAGCAUCCAAAUUGGAAAUGAAGAAGUAAAACUUGCAAUUUUUGCAGAUGACAUGAUACUAUAUAUAGAAAAUCCUAAAGACUCCACCAAAAAACUACUAGAACCGAUAAAUUAAUUCAUUAAGGUUACAGGAUAUAAAAUCAAUGCAUAGAGAAAUCUGUUGCAUUUUUAUAUAGUAAUAAUGAACCAACAGAAAGAGAAAUUAAGAAAAUAAUCCUAUUUACAAUUAUACCAAAAUAAUAAAAUACCUAGGAAUACACUUAACCAAAGAGGUGAAAGCCCUAUAUUCUUUAAAAUUAUAAAACAUUGUUGAAAGAAAUUAAAGAUGACACAAACAAAUGGAAACCGACAUUCCACGCUCACAGAUUGGAAAAACAUAUAUAGUUAAAAUGUUGAGUCCACCCAAAGCAAUCCACACAUUUAAUGUAAUCUCUGUCAAAAUACCAACAACAGUUUUCACAGAACUGUAACAAAUAAUCCUAAAAUUUAUAUAGAAGCACAAAAGACCCUGAAGAGCAAAAACAGUCUUGAAAAAGAAAAGCAAAGCUGGAGACAUCACAAUUCUAGACUUCAAGUUAGAUUACAAAGCGGUAGUCAUCAAAAACUGUUUAGCAGCACAAAAAUAGACACAUAGAUCAAUGGAACAGAAUAGAAAACUCAGGAAUAAACCCACAAGUAUAUGGUCAAUUAAUCUUUGACAAAGCAGGAAAGAAUAUGCAAUGGGAAAAAGUCGCUUCAACAAAUGGUGUUGGGAAAAUUGGACAGCAACAUGCAAAAGAAUGAAACUGGACCACUUUCUUAUACCACACACAAAAGUAAACUUAAAACAGAUUAAAGACUUAAAUGUGAGACCUAAAACCAUAAAAGUCCUAGAAGAGAGCACAGGCAGAAAUGUCUCUGACAUCAACCUUAGCAACGUUUUUCUAGGUAGGUCUCCUGAGGCAAAGAAAACUACAUCAAGACAAAACUUCUGCACAGUGAAGGAAACAAUCAACAAAACUAAAAGACAACCUAUUGAAUAGGAGAAGAUACUUGCAAAUGACUUAUUCAAUAAAGGGUUAGUAUCCAAAAUAUAUAAAAAAUUUAUAUAAUCCAACACCUAAAAAAAGAAUAAUCCAAUAAAAAUAGAAGACAUGAACAGAUAUUUCUCCAAAGAAGACAUCCAGAUGACCAAUGGACACAUGAAAAGAUGUUCAACAUCACUCAUCAUCAGGGAAAUGCAAAUCAAAGCCACACUGAAAUACCAGCUUACAUCUGUCAGAAUAACUAGAAUCAAAAAGACAAGAAGUAACAAGGCCAGGAUGUGGAGGAAAAGGAACCCUUGUGCACUCUUGGUGGGAAUGGAAACUGGUGCAGCCACUCGGGAAAGCUGUAUGGACUUUCCUCAGAAAGUUAAAAAUACAUCUAUUUUGUGGUCCGGUAAUUGCACUACUGGCUAUUUAUCCCCCAAAUACAAAAAACUAACUCAAAGGGAUAUGUGUACUUCUAUUUUUAUAGCAUUGUUAUUUAUAAUAGCCAAAUUAUGGAAGCAGCCCAAGUGUCCCUUGAUAGAUGAAUAAAGAAUAUGUACAAUAGAAUA